GACGAACGCUGGCGGCGUGCUUAACACAUGCAAGUCGAACGUGAUUUUUGUGGAAAGCCCUUCGGGGACGGAAAUGAAAUGAAAGUGGCGAACGGGUGAGUAACACGUGAGCAACCUACCUUACACAGGGGGAUAGCCGUUGGAAACGACGAUUAAUACCGCAUGAGACCACAAAGCCACAUAGCUUAGGGGUAAAAGAUUUAUCGGUGUAAGAUGGGCUCGCGUCUGAUUAGCCAGUUGGAAGGGUAAAGGCCUACCAAGGCAACGAUCAGUAGCCGGUCUGAGAGGAUGAACGGCCACAUUGGAACUGAGACACGGUCCAAACUCCUACGGGAGGCAGCAGUGGGGAAUAUUGCACAAUGGGGGGAACCCUGAUGCAGCGACGCCGCGUGAGCGAAGAAGGUUUUCGAAUCGUAAAGCUCUGUCCUAUGAGAAGAUAAUGACGGUAUCAUAGGAGAAAGCCCCGGCUAAAUACGUGCCAGCAGCCGCGGUAAUACGUAUGGGGCGAGCGUUGUCCGGAAUUAUUGGGCGUAAAGGGUACGUAGGCGGCCUUUUAAGUCAGGUGUGAAAGCGUGAGGCUUAACCUCAUUAAGCACUUGAAACUGGAAGGCUUGAGUGAAGGAGAGGAAAGUGGAAUUCCUAGUGUAGCGGUGAAAUGCGUAGAUAUUAGGAGGAAUACCGGUGGCGAAGGCGACUUUCUGGACUUUUACUGACGCUCAGGUACGAAAGCGUGGGGAGCAAACAGG
rnacentral:rRNA from 1 species